rnacentral:lncRNA from 1 species
CUUGCUGUCCAAACAGUCUCGGACUUUCACACGCCAUGGGUCGCGGUUUUCAUCGUAGAAAAAGAACUCCGAGUUUAACCAAUCAUUGUCUGUGAGAUCCCUUCUUUUCCCUCCUAGUGCUUUCCAUUCAUUCCACAUGCGGUCCACAUUGGCGUGGUGGCUGUAAAAAACUGGGUCUAAACCAGCUGAGUAGAAAUUACCCAUAUCCUCACCGUAUGAUGGCACACAAUUACCCAAAUCCGUACACCGCACAGUACCAGUCCAAAUGUGAACCGGAGUAUGAGGAAUGUUUUCAAUGGUUCCCUGCCCCGGAUUGGGUUUAGAUCCGAAUCUGUAAGGCUCUCCGAAGAACAACAGCGGGCAUGGAGCAUUAGUUAUCAUUUGACGAUACAUUAGAAUUAAGUUGUUAGUUAUCAUCUGUAUUUCAUUAGUUUUGACUUCAUCACCGAAAAAACCAAGAUCGAUUAUGGUUCCAUUACGGACAUGUGGAUUACGUCUUGCAUCGUAGAGGGAAGAACCUUCGACAUCGAACAUAGCAGGCAAACGCAUGCCGCUUGGAUGGUCCCAGUUCCAAUAUGGCAGAGCAAAAGUUGGAUCAUCGAUGAGGGAGCCCAAGAUUCUCUCGUAGAAGUACAAGUACCAUCUAUGAAACGGGAAGAAAAGCCACGAUUGGUGAACUUGUAACUUUUGGUCACCCAUUGUGUAAGCAUCGUUGCAAUAAGCACAAUGGAUAUUAGCUUGUUGCUUGAAGCCAAGAGGAUCAAAUGGGUCUUUGUCUAAUUCCCUCAUUUUACUAGUGGCUAACUGGUACUUGGCUAUAUACUCCUCACUCACGUCUUGGGCAGGGGGCCGCUUACGAAGCUUGGACAUGCGAGGGAUCUUGUAAUAUGGAACGCUGUCCAUAUCAUCUGGUGUAGGGGGGCAACAAGAAUAUGGUACAGUUGGACCAUCCGUUAUCGUGGCCGGGCCACAUGAUUUUAGAUCGGGGGGUGGUACGGGAGCAGCAGAGGCUAAUGGCGCAAGAUUAGUUGCGCCAUACAGCCCUCCUAAACCCAAAAGGACAUUCCUUCUGUCAACAGCUCCUUCUUUAACUGCGUCAAGCUGGUUUCCGUCAUGCU